GAACUGAAGAGUUUGAUCCUGGCUCAGAUUGAACGCUGGCGGCAUGCCUAACACAUGCAAGUCGAACGCGAAAGCACCUUCGGGUGCGAGUAGAGUGGCGGACGGGUGAGUAACGCGUGGGAACCUGCCCAGUAGUGGGGGAUAACCCGGGGAAACUCGGGCUAAUACCGCAUACGCCCUACGGGGGAAAGGC
rnacentral:rRNA from 1 species